rnacentral:rRNA from 1 species
UAGGGAAUCUUCGGCAAUGGGGGGAACCCUGACCGAGCAACGCCGCGUGAGUGAAGAAGGUUUUCGGAUCGUAAAGCUCUGUUGUUAAGGAAGAACGAGUGUGAGAAUGGAAAGUUCAUACUGUGACGGUACUUAACCAGAAAGGGACGGCUAACUACGUGCCAGCAGCCGCGGUAAUACGUAGGUCCCGAGCGUUGUCCGGAUUUAUUGGGCGUAAAGCGAGCGCAGGCGGUUAGAUAAGUCUGAAGUUAAAGGCAGUGGCUCAACCAUUGUAGGCUUUGGAAACUGUUUAACUUGAGUGCAGAAGGGGAGAGUGGAAUUCCAUGUGUAGCGGUGAAAUGCGUAGAUAUAUGGAGGAACACCAGUGGCGAAGGCGACUCUCUGGUCUGUAACUGACGCUGAGGCUCGAAAGCGUGGGGAGCGAACAGG